UACAGAGGUCUCAAGCGUUGUUCGGAAUCACUGGGCUUAAAGGGCGCGUAGGCGGACCAUCAAGUCGGGGGUGAAAUCUUUCAGCCCAACUGGAAAAGGGCUUCCGAUACUGGUGGUCUCGAGGGAGGUAGGGGUCGAGGGAACUAAUGGUGGAGCGGUGAAAUGCGUAGAUAUCAUUAGGAACGCCGGUGGCGAAAGCGCUCGACUGGACCUCUUCUGACGCUGAGGCGCGAAAGCCAGGGGAGCAAACGGG
rnacentral:rRNA from 1 species